CAGCGCCUGCGGUACCGGCAAGGAUCGGGGCGAUGAUCCCGCCCCGGUGUGGGCGGAGGGGCUCUUCUGCCCAGUUCUCUUCCAGCGGCGCGGCC
rnacentral:tRNA from 1 species